rnacentral:rRNA from 1 species
GAUGAACGCUGGCGGCGUGCCUAAUACAUGCAAGUCGAGCGAACAGAUAAGGAGCUUGCUCCUUUGACGUUAGCGGCGGACGGGUGAGUAACACGUGGGUAACCUACCUAUAAGACUGGAAUAACUCCGGGAAACCGGGUCUAAUGCCGGAUAACAUUUAGAACCGCAUGGUUCUAAAGUGAGAGAUGGUUUUGCUAUCACUUAUAGAUGGACCCGCGCCGUAUUAGCUAGUUGGUAAGGUAACGGCUUACCAAGGCAACGAUACGUAGCCGACCUGAGAGGGGGAUAGGCCACACUGGAACUGAGACGCGGUCCAGACUCCUGAGGGAGGCAGCAGUAGGGAAUCGGACGCAAUGGGCGAAAGCCUGACGGAGCAACGCCGCGUGAGUGAUGAAGGUCUUCGGAUCGUAAAACUCUGUUAUUAGGGAAGAACAAAUGUGUAAGUAACUGUGCACGUCUUGACGGUACCGAAUCAGAAAGCCACGGCUAACUACGUG